GAUGAACGCUAGCGAUAGGCUUAACACAUGCAAGUCGAGGGGCAGCAUGGUCUUAGCUUGCUAAGGCUGAUGGCGACCGGCGCACGGGUGCGUAACGCGUAUGCAACUUGCCUCACAGAGGGGGAUAACCCGUCGAAAGACGGACUAAUACCGCGUACACUCUAUGUUGGGCAUCCAAUGUAGAGGAAAUGAAAUUCGCUGUGAGAUAGGCAUGCGUCCCAUUAGCUAGUUGGUGAGGUAACGGCUCACCAAGGCGACGAUGGGUAGGGGAACUGAGAGGGUGAACCCCCACACUGGUACUGAGACACGGACCAGACUCCUACGGGAGGCAGCAGUGUGGAAUAUUGGUCAAUGGGCGAGAGCCUGAACCAGCCAAGUCGCGUGAAGGAUGACUGUCUUAUGGAUUGUAAGCUUCUUUUAUACGGGAAUAACAAGAGUCACGUGUGGCUCCCUGCAUGUACCGUAUGAAUAAGCAUCGGCUAACUCCGUG
rnacentral:rRNA from 1 species